GCCGACCUGAGAGGGUAUCGGCACACUGGGACUGAGACACGGCCCAGAUUCCUACGGGAGGCAGCAGUAGGGAAUCUUCCACAAUGGACGAAAGUCUGAUGGAGCAACGCCGCGUGAGUGAAGAAGGUUUUCGGAUCGUAAAACUCUGUUGUUGGAGAAGAACGUAUUUGAUAGUAACUGAUCAGGUAGUGACGGUAUCCAACCAGAAAGCCACGGCUAACUACGUGCCAGCAGCCGCGGUAAUACGUAGGUGGCAAGCGUUGUCCGGAUUUAUUGGGCGUAAAGCGAGCGCAGGCGGUUUCUUAAGUCUGAUGUGAAAGCCUUCGGCUCAACCGAAGAAGUGCAUCGGAAACUGGGAAACUUGAGUGCAGAAGAGGACAGUGGAACUCCAUGUGUAGCGGUGAAAUGCGUAGAUAUAUGGAAGAACACCAGUGGCGAAGGCGGCUGUCUGGUCUGUAACUGACGCUGAGGCUCGAAAGCAUGGGUAGCAAACAGGAUUAGAUACCCUGGUAGUCCAUGCCGUAAACGAUGAGUGCUAGGUGUUGGAGGGUUUCCGCCCUUCAGUGCCGCAGCUAACGCAUUAAGCACUCCGCCUGGGGAGUACGACCGCAAGGUUGAAACUCAAAGGAAUUGACGGGGGCCCGCACAAGCGGUGGAGCAUGUGGUUUAAUUCGAAGCAACGCGAAGAACCUUACCAGGUCUUGACAUCCUUUGACCACUCUAGAGAUAGAGCUUUCCCUUCGGGGACAAAGUGACAGGUGGUGCAUGGUUGUCGUCAGCUCGUGUCGUGAGAUGUUGGGUUAAGUCCCGCAACGAGCGCAACCCUUAUUACUAGUUGCCAGCAUUUAGUUGGGCACUCUAGUGAGACUGCCGGUGACAAACCGGAGGAAGGUGGGGACGACGUCAAAUCAUCAUGCCCCUUAUGACCUGGGCUACACACGUGCUACAAUGGAUGGUACAACGAGUCGCGAGACCGCGAGGUUUAGCUAAUCUCUUAAAACCAUUCUCAGUUCGGAUUGUAGGCUGCAACUCGCCUACAUGAAGCCGGAAUCGCUAGUAAUCGCGGAUCAGCAUGCCGCGGUGAAUACGUUCCCGGGCCUUGUACACACCGCCCGUCACACCAUGAGAGUUUGUAACACCCAAAGCCGGUGAGGUAACCUUCGGGAGCCAGCCGUCUAAGG
rnacentral:rRNA from 1 species